CUACAUGGGGCGCAGCUGAGAGUUAGCAGUCCAUGUGUGUCCUUCAAUACUGAUUAUUCCAAUAAAACAAGAAACCUGUAAGUGAGUGAUGACUGUUUAUUCUCAUUGUGAGCGGAUGAGCCCACGAUGGUAACAAGCUCCCGCUUCCUCUGAACCUCGUCCUCCUUAACAUGGGCCUUCGAGGAGGAGUAGUGUUAUUGUCGUGAUUCAGAGCAGCCGUUAACUGAAGGUUUCCAGUCGUGACAGUCGACCUCCUGCUUACCUGCAACAGUAUGAUGUUCAGUAUCCUGGAGCUAGAAGUGCUAGAUGUGAGACAGGGUGUCAAACAGAAUGUCAGCAUAUUGACACAGACACACAUGGGCUGCAGGAUCCUGACGGAGAGGCAGAAAGCCGACCAGAGACACGUCCCGCUCCUUUACCUACUAACCAAGAUGAGGUUUUGAGGGAACUCCUGAUGAUGAUGAGGGACCCGCUCAGCCCCCACAGUACCCAUCAGCUGCCUCAGAAGACCCGUGAGCCAACCAAGCCUGAUAGGACUCCUCCUUCAGCCUGAUGGCUCCCUUCACCUCCAUAGAGUACCGUCUGGUUUGGGUGUUAUCACCACAACAGGCACCAACAACUUUGAGCUUGGUGCACAAACGGACUUUCCUUCCCAAGGACCUUGUAAAUAGAGACUUUGAACUUGUCCUUGCUUGAAGAUUUUGUAAAUAGUUAUCUUUUCACGAGUACGAUCUUCUUAGUCCCACGUUGCUUGAUUCACUCGUUAUGACAAAACGCUCAGCCACAGAUGAACUAAAAGGACUCAGAUGUGAAUUCGUCACUCGCUCACCUUGCAGAAAGUCCAGCUGGAAAACCACAAA